rnacentral:rRNA from 1 species
UACACACCGCCCGUCACACCAUGGGAGUGGGUUUCACCAGAAGUAGGUAGUCUAACCGCAAGGAGGGACGCUUACCACGGUGAGAUUCAUGACUGGGGUG